AGCGAACGCUGGCGGCAGGCCUAAAACAUGCAAGUCGAACGCCGUAGCAAUACGGAGUGGCAGACGGGUGAGUAACACGUGGGAACGUGCCUUUUGGUUCGGAACAACCCAGGGAAACUUGGGCUAAUACCGGAUAAGCCCUUCGGGGGAAAGAUUUAUCGCCAGAAGAUCGGCCCGCGUCUGAUUAGCUAGUUGGUGGGGUAAUGGCCCACCAAGGCUACGAUCAGUAGCUGGUCUGAGAGGAUGAUCAGCCACACUGGGACUGAGACACGGCCCAGACUCCUCCGGGAGGCAGCAGUUAGGAAUCUUGGACAAUGGGCGCAAGCCUGAUCCAGCCAUGCCGCGUGAGUGAUGAAGGCCUUAGGGUUGUAAAGCUCUUUCAGCGGGGAAGAUAAUGACGGUACCCGCAGAAGAAGCCCCGGCUAACUUCGUGCCAGCAGCCGCCGUAA
rnacentral:rRNA from 1 species